rnacentral:rRNA from 1 species
UUGACCUCAGAUCAGGUAGGACUACCCGCUGAACUUAAGCAUAUCAAUAAGCGGAGGAAAAGAAACUAACAAGGAUUCCCCUAGUAGCGGCGAGCGAAGCGGGAAGAGCUCAAAUUUGUAAUCUGGCAGCAAUGCCCGAGUUGUAAUCUAUAGAGUCAUUUUCGGUGCCGGACCGCGUCCAAGUCCCUUGGAACAGGGUAUCAAAGAGGGUGAGAAUCCCGUGCUUGACGCGAUUUCCGGGGCUGUGUGAUAUGAUUUCUACGAGUCGAGUUGUUUGGGAAUGCAGCUCUAAACGGGUGGUAAAUUCCAUCUAAAGCUAAAUAUUGGCGAGAGACCGAUAGCGAACAAGUACCGUGAGGGAAAGAUGAAAAGCACUUUGGAAAGAGAGUUAAACAGUACGUGAAAUUGUUGAAAGGGAAACGAUUGAAGUCAGUCGUGUUCAUUGGUUUCAGCAGGCUCUGCCUGUGUAUUACCUUUGAACGGGUCAACAUCGGUUAGCCUGGGCGCAGAAAGGUAUUAGUAAGGUAGCACCCUCGGGUGUGUUAUAGCCUGAUGCCAUAUUCGUUCGGGCUGACCGAGGACUGCGGUGUGCCCGCAAGGGCGGUCCAUCUGGAUCCCCACACCUGGGAUGUUGACAUAAUGGCUUUAAACGACCCGUCUUGAAACACGGACC